AGCAGUCGCCACGGGAAAACGGAGGGAGCUAGCGUUGUUCGGAAUUACUGGGCGUAAAGCGCGCGUAGGCGGUUACUCAAGUCAGAGGUGAAAGCCCGGGGCUCAACCCCGGAACUGCCUUUGAAACUAGGUGACUAGAAUCUUGGAGAGGUCAGUGGAAUUCCGAGUGUAGAGGUGAAAUUCGUAGAUAUUCGGAAGAACACCAGUGGCGAAGGCGACUGACUGGACAAGUAUUGACGCUGAGGUGCGAAAGCGUGGGGAGCAAACAGGAUUAGAUACCCCCGUAGUCCCUGUCUCUUAUAC
rnacentral:rRNA from 1 species